rnacentral:sRNA from 3 species
AUUCUGCCCAUGCGGGGAAGGAUGAGAAGCUUCGACUAAGGUUCGGCUCGAGCGCCAGCGAGAGAGCGUUGCCGCAGGCAACGACCCGAAGGGCGAAGCGCGCAGCGCUGAGUAAUCCUUCCCCCACCACCA